CUCAAAGUUGGAACCUGUUUGGCCUAGCUAAACAGGAUUGUAAACUGUAGAAGUGUUUUCCAGGCAAUCCGAGUUAAUAAGUCCUUUGGAACAGGGCAUCAUAGAGGGUGAGAAUCCCGUCUUUGAUUCGAGAUAUUUUGUCUUUUGCGAUACACUUUCAAAGAGUCAGGUUGUUUGGGAAUGCAGCCUAAAUUGGGUGGUAAAUCUCACCUAAAGCUAAAUAUUGGCGAGAAACCGAUAGCGAACAAGUACCGUGAGGGAAAGAUGAAAAGAACUUUGAAAAGAGAGUUAAACAGUAUGUGAAAUUGUUAAAAGGGAACCGUUUGGAGCCAGACUGGCUUGUCUGUAAUCAAUCUAGGUUUCGUGCCUGGAUGCACUUGCAGACUAUUUGCCUGCCAACGACAAUUUUUUUUGAGUGUAAAAACUAUUGGAAAUGUGGCCAAUAUUUAUUUAUUGGUGUUAUAGUCCUUUAGAAAAUACCUUGAAUUGGAUUGAGGAACGCAGCGAAUGCUUCUCUUUUGAGGCAAAGUCUUUUAUUGGGAUUUACGGAUCAGACUGUGGCAUUGUCACAAGACUUGAAGUUUAAACCUAUUUU
rnacentral:rRNA from 2 species